rnacentral:rRNA from 1 species
UGGGGAAUUGUUCGCAAUGGGCGCAAGCCUGACGACGCAACGCCGCGUGGAGGAUGAAGACCUUCGGGUCGUAAACUCCUUUCGAUCGAGACGAAUGGCCUCCGGGUGAAUAAUCCGGAGGAGUGACGGUACCGCGAGAAGAAGCCCCGGCUAACUCCGUGCCAGCAGCCGCGGUAAUACGGGGGGGGCAAGCGUUGUUCGGAAUUACUGGGCGUAAAGGGCUCGUAGGUGGCCAACUAAGUCAGACGUGAAAUCCCUCGGCUUAACCGGGGAACUGCAUCUGAUACUGGAUGGCUUGAGUUUGGGAGAGGGACGCGGAAUUCCAGGUGUAGCGGUGAAAUGCGUAGAUAUCUGGAGGAACACCGGUGGCGAAGGCGGCGUCCUGGACCAAUACUGACACUGAUGAGCGAAAGCCAGGGGAGCAAACGGG